ACUGAAAAGGAAGGUCCUAGGGUAGCAGAGUGGAGGAGCAGAGGUGGAGCAGAUCUGCUUGGAGCUCCGUCUGCUCUGAACCCGUUUCACUGUGGGGCACUUUUGGUACUUCAGAAGGGUGGUGCAGGUCACAUUGCCCCUCGCCUCCCUGUUGGCCAGGAGGAAGUUACAAAGAUGGCUGUCUGUGUGAACUGAGGAACAAAGGCAAUAUGAUCAACUUCAAGCACUCGGAAGUUAUUAGGAACAUGGGCCAGGAAGGGCAGAAAAGAUCACGGAGGCUACAGCUGCUUCUGCAAAGAGCACAGCCAGGAACUGCAACCCAGCAGCGCAGCCCCAUUGGCAUGGCGGCCCACUGCAGACUUGUAAACGGAAACGGUGCAGAUGACGGGAUAUCACACUAUAGUCAUUUGGGAGGGGGUAUUUUGGAUCAGCUCCAGUCUGGUUCCUUGGACUGCAUAUGCAUUAGCAGUUAACACACAUCAUGUGACCACCUUCUAGCUUGCUUUCAUCCAGGAGUAAGCCAGUUUGCAAGCUGCAAGCCCAGUCUGCAAAACCAAGCAUGGCGAGCGGGCUAACUGCGGUUCGUUUCAGAAGAGCACUUCUGCCUGAAACAAAUGUCAGCGUCUUACACCCUGAUGCAAGGUCUCUGCGGUCCCAUUCUCCGCUGUGCCCGCUGGGUGUGCAGUGGGUAUUUGAGCAUCAGCAGCUUCAAAGUAGAAGUAAAAAUAAAUGCGAGAGUGUCGAUGCCA
rnacentral:lncRNA from 1 species